CUUCGGGAUAAGCCUGGGAAACUGGGUCUAAUACCGGAUAUGACCUUCUCCUGCAUGGGGGUUGGUGGAAAGUUUUUGCGGUACAGGAUGGGCCCGCGGCCUAUCAGCUUGUUGGUGGGGUAAUGGCCUACCAAGGCGACGACGGGUAGCCGGCCUGAGAGGGCGACCGGCCACACUGGGACUGAGACACGGCCCAGACUCCUACGGGAGGCAGCAGUGGGGAAUAUUGCACAAUGGGCGAAAGCCUGAUGCAGCGACGCCGCGUGAGGGAUGACGGCCUUCGGGUUGUAAACCUCUUUCAGUAGGGACGAAGCGCAAGUGACGGUACCUACAGAAGAAGCACCGGCCAACUACGUGCCAGCAGCCGCGGUAAUACGUAGGGUGCGAGCGUUGUCCGGAUUUACUGGGCGUAAAGAGCUCGUAGGCGGUUUGUCACGUCGUCUGUGAAAACCCGAGGCUUAACCUCGGGCCUGCAGGCGAUACGGGCAGACUUGAGUACUGUAGGGGAGACUGGAAUUCCUGGUGUAGCGGUGGAAUGCGCAGAUAUCAGGAGGAACACCGGUGGCGAAGGCGGGUCUCUGGGCAGUAACUGACGCUGAG
rnacentral:rRNA from 1 species